rnacentral:lncRNA from 1 species
AAGUCUUAGUAUCCAAACAACAAGGACUGGUGCUGCAAAAGUAACAACGAAUACUAGAUACAUAACAUUCUAAAAAAGAAAAGCAAACAUAGAAAGAGAUCAAACCUCAAAUGCGUAUCAUGAUUUAAUGUAACACUAGCACAAAGGCUGCACUAUGCUAUGGUUUUUUGAUAGAUUAAAAAAAUCAGCAGCAUUUGAUUGAUAAGCACACACACGUAUAUAUAUGUUUGUAUAUAUGUACAUAUUGUUUAUGUAUUUAUAGAUAUACAUAUAUAUUGUGGCCAAUCCCCUCGUCGCCU